CGCGUAGGCGGUCUUUUAAGUGAGAUGUGAAAUCCCUGGGCUUAACCUAGGAACUGCAUCUUAUACUGGGGGACUGGAGUACUGUAGAGGGUAGUGGAAUUUCCGGUGUAGCGGUGAAAUGCGUAGAGAUCGGAAGGAACACCAGUGGCGAAGGCGGCUACCUGGACAGAUACUGACGCUGAGGCGCGAGAGCGUGGGGGGCAAACAGGAUUAGAUACCCUGGUAGUCCACGCUGUAAACGAUGAGAACUAGAUGUUGGUAGGCAUGACCUAUUAGUAUCGAAGCUAACGCGAUAAGUUCUCCGCCUGGGGAGUACGGCCGCAAGGUUAAA
rnacentral:rRNA from 1 species